rnacentral:rRNA from 1 species
AUUGAACGCUGGCGGUAUGCUUAACACAUGCAAGUCGAACGAUGAGAAAGAGCUUGCUCUUUCGAUUAGUGGCGGACGGGUGCGUAACGCGUAGGAAUCUACCUAUUAGUGGGGGACAACUUAGGGAAACUUAAGCUAAUACCGCAUACGCCUUACGGGGGAAAGAAGGGGAUCGCAAGACCUUUUGCUAAUAGAUGAGCCUGCGUAGGAUUAGCUAGUUGGUGGGGUAAAAGCUCACCAAGGCGACGAUCCUUAACUGGUUUGAGAGAAUGAUCAGUCACACUGGAACUGAGACACGGUCCAGACUCCUACGGGAGGCAGCAGUGGGGAAUAUUGGACAAUGGGCGAAAGCCUGAUCCAGCAAUACCGCGUGUGCGAAGAAGGCCUUAGGGUUGUAAAGCACUUUCAAUUGGAAGGAAAACCUCGAAGCUAAUACCUUCGAGUUUGACAUUACCUUUAGAAGAAGCACCGGCUAACUCCGUGCCAGCCGCCGCCGUAACAC